rnacentral:rRNA from 1 species
GCGGAGGAAAAGAAACUAACAAGGAUUCCCCUAGUAACGGCGAGUGAAGCGGGAAAAGCUCAAAUUUGAAAUCUGGUAGCCUCAGGCUGCCCGAGUUGUAAUCUAUAGAAACGUUUUCCGCGCUGGCCCAUGUACAAGUCUCCUGGAAUGGAGCGUCAUAGAGGGUGAGAAUCCCGUCCUUGACAUGGACUACCAGUGCUUUGUGAUACGUUUUCAAAGAGUCGAGUUGUUUGGGAAUGCAGCUCAAAAUGGGUGGUAAAUUCCAUCUAAAGCUAAAUAUUGGCGAGAGACCGAUAGCGAACAAGUACCGUGAGGGAAAGAUGAAAAGCACUUUGGAAAGAGAGUUAAACAGUAUGUGAAAUUGUUGAAAGGGAAACGAUUGAAGUCAGUCAUGUCUAUUGGACUCAGCCGGUUCUGCCGGUGUACUUCCUUUAGAUGGGGUCAACAUCAGUUUUGAUCGCUGGAAAAGGGCAGGAGGAAUGUAGCACUCUCGGGUGAACUUAUAGCCUCCUGUCGUAUACAGUGGUUGGGACUGAGGAACGCAGCAUGCCUUUAUGGCCGGGGUUCGCCCACGUACAUGCUUAGGAUGUUGACAUAAUGGCUUUAAACGACCCGUCUUGAA